rnacentral:misc_RNA from 1 species
GCGUAGGCUGCGUGAGGGAUAGAGCCGGCAUCUUUUUUUUGAGGAACGAAAAAAAAAAGAUAUAGGCGAAAGGCCGACGGCAA